AUACACCUGCAAUAGAGAGGCUGUGUAGAGAAAAAAGAGACGACCCCGUGUCGUCUUCUCCAGACGACCCCUCUUUACCUCCCAACAAUCGCUCCCUCACCACCAGAACAGUAAAAAACGAACACCCCUCCACUCUUUUACUUUUUUGUCUUCUUUAAAAAAAAGGAUAGUCGUAGUUCUGUUCGUCAAUCCGGCGUCGAGGUGAUACUGGUUUCAAGGCCUGGUCAUGAUCCCGUCCAAUGUCAAUAGAUUUUCGGUCGAGUCUUUCUCUAUCCAGCUUCCAUGACCUUCCUUAGGAAGGCUUUUGUCGUCAUUUUCGGCAAUUAGAUAUGUAAAUAAUCAUUUGUAUUUUACUUCAAAGCUAUGAAUGAAAAAUCUGAAUUAUUAGAGCCAUAUUCCUGACUUGAUUUCAUAGAUGCACGAUUGAAUCUGAUUAUGACUUUGUUUCUUUUUGGUUUGUCGCUCAUUUUGGUGUGUAUGUUUGUUAUAAAUUGGAUUCACGUUUAUUAGUAAUGAAGCCUUUGUUAUCGUCGUUUUCUUCUGAUUCGUGAAAUGGAGUAUGCAAAGCUCACAUAUUUAGCUUCUGGUUGUGUGGUUUUAUUGAUUAAAUUGAUAUGGUGUAAUUUGUGUUAUUG
rnacentral:lncRNA from 1 species